UUGACCUAGCAGCACAGCAACAGUAAGUGUUGUGUUAUUUAACAUUUUCUCUGUCGCAUGGCAUUUGUAUGUGUACAGACUGAAAUGAUUCAGCUUUCUGUAGUGUCUACUACUGAUUCUAUCUGAAAGUUAUUUUGUGCUUUAAUUUCGGUCAUAACUUUGUCUUGCUCCCUGUAAUUUUAUAGGCAUGAGGCUGAGCUUGCUGCU
rnacentral:misc_RNA from 1 species